GGGGUUGUGGCUCAGUGGUAGAGCACUUGCCUAGCAUGCAUCAGGCACUGGGUUCAAUCCCCAGCACCA
rnacentral:tRNA from 1 species